UACGUAGGGUGCGAGCGUUAAUCGGAAUUACUGGGCGUAAAGCGUGCGCAGGCGGUUUUGUAAGCCAGAUGUGAAAUCCCCGGGCUCAACCUGGGAACUGCAUCUGUGACUGCAUAGCUAGAGUACGGUAGAGGGGGAUGGAAUUCCGCGUGUAGCAGUGAAAUGCGUAGAUAUGCGGAGGAACACCGAUGGCGAAGGCAAUCCCCUGGACCUGUACUGACGCUCAUGCACGAAAGCGUGGGGAGCAAACAGG
rnacentral:rRNA from 1 species